CUCUCGGUGGCCAAGCUGGCUAAGGCGCGAGACUGUAACUGAUAAUUGUAAUCUUGAGAUCGGGUGUUCGACUCACCCCCGGCAGA
rfam:Metschnikowia bicuspidata var. bicuspidata NRRL YB-4993 METBIscaffold_2, whole genome shotgun sequence.